rnacentral:rRNA from 1 species
GACGAACGCUGGCGGCGUGCUUAACACAUGCAAGUCGAACGGAAAGGCCCUGCUUUUGUGGGGUGCUCGAGUGGCGAACGGGUGAGUAACACGUGAGUAACCUGCCCUUGACUUUGGGAUAACUUCAGGAAACUGGGGCUAAUACCGGAUAGGAGCUCCUGCUGCAUGGUGGGGGUUGGAAAGUUUCGGCGGUUGGGGAUGGACUCGCGGCUUAUCAGCUUGUUGGUGGGGUAGUGGCUUACCAAGGCUUUGACGGGUAGCCGGCCUGAGAGGGUGACCGGCCACAUUGGGACUGGGAUACGGCCCAGACUCCUACGGGAGGCAGCAGGGGGGAAUAUUGCACAAUGGGCGGAAGCCUGAUGCAGCAACGCCGCGUGCGGGAUGACGGCCUUCGGGUUGGAAACCGCUUUCGCCUGUGACGAAGCGUGAGUGACGGUAAUGGGUAAAGAAGCACCGGCUAACUACGUGC